GCCUGUUCAAGUAAACAUGGCUGAAGAAAGCCUGAUUGAAGGCGAAGAUGAAAACAUUUUGUAUGAUUUACUUGUCAUUACCGAAUGGCCGGCAGAGACAGAUACUCAGCUGCGAGGCAACAAGGAGCACAACACCUCACUUAUUGCAAAAGCAGUGACCGGGCCAUUCCGCCUAGUCUUGCACUACUUGUGGUACAG